CUCCUUCAGGCCUGUCCCAAAUGAUAUGCAGUCUCUCUCCCCUUCAGGCCUGUCCCGAAUGAUAUGCUGCCUGUCUCCUUCAGGCCUGUCCCAAAUGAUAUGCUGCCUGUCCCGAAUGAUAUGCUGCCUGUCUCCUUCAGGCCUGUCCCAAAUGAUAUAUGCUGUCUGUCUCCUUCAGGCCUGUCCCAAAUGAUAUGCUGCCUGUCUCCUUCAGGCCUGUCCCGAAUGAUAUGCUGUCUGUCUCCUUCAGGCCUGUCCCAAAUGAUAUGCUGCCUGUCUCCUUCAGGCCUGUCCCGAAUGAUAUGCUGCCUGUCUCCUUCAGGCCUGUCCCAAAU